AACGCGAAGAACCUUACCAAAUCUUGACAUCCUUUGAAAACUCUAGAGAUAGAGCCUUCCCCUUCGGGGGACAAAGUGACAGGUGGUGCAUGGUUGUCGUCAGCUCGUGUCGUGAGAUGUUGGGUUAAGUCCCGCAACGAGCGCAACCCUUAAACUUAGUUGCCAGCAUUUAGUUGGGCACUCUAGGUUGACUGCCGGUGACAAACCGGAGGAAGGUGGGGAUGACGUCAAAUCAUCAUGCCCCUUAUGAUUUGGGCUACACACGUGCUACAAUGGACAAUACAAAGGGCAGCUAAACCGCGAGGUCAUGCAAAUCCCAUAAAGUUGUUCUCAGUUCGGAUUGUAGUCUGCAACUCGACUACAUGAAGCUGGAAUCGCUAGUAAUCGUAGAUCAG
rnacentral:rRNA from 1 species